rnacentral:tRNA from 1 species
CAUACAUAUAGCUUAAC